GCUUAUGACCAUACCAUCCUGAACACUCCUGAAGCUAAGCAGGGUCAUGCCUGGCUAAGUAGAUGGGAGUCCCCCUGGGAACAUGAGGUGCUGAAAGCU
rnacentral:rRNA from 1 species